AAUUACAACAAUGUUGAUGUUUAAUUUAAACGUAAAACGGUUAAUGUUGACCUGGUGAUUUGGUUAUUCCUUCACAUUACCUGUAUAUCAACAUUAUAAAUUGUCAAUUGUUUAUGAAUCUAUGAAUUUUAUAGAUCUCGAUAUUGUUCCGAUCCCAUUGAACUAGACUACAGAGUGUUCCCCUCCACUUCAAUGUCCGAUCCUUGAUCUUGCCCAUAGAUAAUAUCUUGCCUAUCUUGUAUUAAAAACGACGUUACGUCACCAUUUUUAAAAUUUUGCAAUUUUGUUCGCUUUUCGGUGGCUAUUUUCGUUGUAUUUUAUGUUUAUAAUUGUUUAAUAAUUUAGUUUAUUCGUUUUUCUUCUCUAUUUUUACAGAUUGAUGAUAAAUAAGAAUGAAAAGGAAGGGUGGUCAUUUUGAUGCAACUCAACAAGCAAUUUGUCAGCCAUGGUGUUCGUUACAUUAUGGAGGAUCCUCUUACUAACUACAGAACAUUAAAAAACCCUGGAUGGCAUUAAUUUACAGUGCCUUGGUUGUGUCAGUUUUCAUUCGAUCCAGAAAGUAGCUGUCCUAAAAAGAAGCACAAAAGUGGAUACAGUGUGGCAUUGCUGAAGGAAGGAUUUAUAACGAAUGAACUGAUUGUCCAAAUGAGAAGGAAUUACAGCUAGUUUCGAUGGUACUGAAAGAGCUAAAGCUUAUGAUGUCAUACUCUUUCAACAUAAUUUUGAACCUUUGAGGGGGAGGCAUCCGGAAAUUAAUUUGGAAACGACUGAAACAACAAGUUGUCUGGAGUGGUAUUCCUCCUGGAUUUUGCUUGUUCAUUCGACCUUAAAAAGCUACUUUCUGCAGUUAAUU